rnacentral:rRNA from 1 species
AUUGAACGCUGGCGGCAUGCCUUACACAUGCAAGUCGAACGGCAGCACGGGUGCUUGCACCUGGUGGCGAGUGGCGAACGGGUGAGUAAUACAUCGGAACGUACCUUAUCGUGGGGGAUAACGCAGCGAAAGUUGCGCUAAUACCGCAUACGCCCUGAGGGGGAAAGCGGGGGACCGUAAGGCCUCGCGCGAUUAGAGCGGCCGAUGUCUGAUUAGCUUGUUGGUGAGGUAAAAGCCCACCAAGGCGAUGAUCAGUAGCUGGUCUGAGAGGACGAUCAGCCACACUGGGACUAAGACACGGCCCAGACUCCUACGGGAGGCAGCAGUGGGGAAUUUUGGACAAUGGGGGCAACCCUGAUCCAGCAAUGCCGCGUGAGUGAAGAAGGCCUUCGGGUUGUAAAGCUCUUUUGUCAGGGAAGAAACAGCAGCUCUAACACAGUCUGCGAAUGACGGUACCUGAGGAAUAAGCACCGGCUAACUACGUGCCAGCCGCCGCGGUAA